rnacentral:rRNA from 1 species
AAAUGAAUAGACGGGGACCCGCACAAGCAGCGGAGCAUGUGGUUUAAUUCGAAGCAACGCGAAGAACCUUACCAAGUCUUGACAUAUUUCGGAGGUAAUUAGAGAUAGUUACUUAUGACUUCGGUCAACUGAAAUACAGGUGGUGCAUGGUUGUCGUCAGCUCGUGUCGUGAGAUGUUGGGUUAAGUCCCAUAACGAGCGCAACCCUUCUCGUUAGUUACCAUCAUUAAGUUGGGGACUCUAGCGAUACUGCCGGUGAUAAACCGGAGGAAGGUGGGGAUGACGUCAAAUCAUCAUGCCCUUUAUGACUUGGGCUACACACGUGCUACAAUGGCAGGAACAGAGAGCAGCGAAAUCGUGAGAUCAAGCCAACCUCAAAAAACCUGUCCCAGUUCGGAUUGUACUCUGCAACUCGAGUACAUGAAGUUGGAGUUGCUAGUAAUCGUGGAUCAGCACGCCACGGUGAAUGCGUUCCCGGGUCUUGUACACACCGCCCGU